rnacentral:rRNA from 1 species
CAGUAGCCACGGUAAAACGUAGGGUGCAAGCGUUAAUCGGAAUUACUGGGCGUAAAGCGUGCGCAGGCGGUUAUAUAAGACAGAUGUGAAAUCCCCGGGCUCAACCUGGGAACUGCAUUUGUGACUGUAUAGCUAGAGUACGGCAGAGGGGGAUGGAAUUCCGCGUGUAGCAGUGAAAUGCGUAGAUAUGCGGAGGAACACCGAUGGCGAAGGCAAUCCCCUGGGCCUGUACUGACGCUCAUGCACGAAAGCGUGGGGAGCAAACAGGAUUAGAUACCCCCGUAGUCCCUGUCUCUUAUAC